UACGAAGGGGGCUAGCGUUGCUCGGAAUCACUGGGCGUAAAGCGCACGUAGGCGGAUUGUUAAGUCAGGGGUGAAAUCCUGGAGCUCAACUCCAGAACUGCCUUUGAUACUGGCGAUCUUGAGUCCGGGAGAGGCGAGUGGAACUGCGAGUGUAGAGGUGAAAUUCGUAGAUAUUCGCAAGAACACCAGUGGCGAAGGCGGCUCACUGGCCCGGUACUGACGCUGAGGUGCGAAAGCGUGGGGAGCAAACAGG
rnacentral:rRNA from 1 species